rnacentral:piRNA from 1 species
UGAAAUAGGCAGGAACUGUACACUGUGCA